CGCGGCCCCACGGAGAGGGGCUGCGGGAACCGGGACUGCGGCCCUCCCCGAGCUGAGGGCAGUUGGAGACACGGAGAGUUUGUUUGCACAAACAAGCGCGGAGGGAGAAGUCGAGAGGCGGCUGUUAGCUGGUACGCAAACAUACAAACUGAGACCCACAGCCUAUGGGGUGUUGCAUGGCUCUCCUAAAAUGCUAAGCCCUGUCAUAAACACCCAUCGUUUUGCAACAUUAGAUGCCUUGGCUGAUGCUGAAGAAUCCAUGAAACAUGAGACCAGCAACUGAAGGAACAGUCUGCUUUUGCUGAGAGUGGAAAUGCCUCUGUUGAAAUGAUCUUGUGGAAAUAGGAAGAUGCAAGAAGAAAAUGUUCAAGUAGUCCGUAAAGCCUGCACACUGCUACAAACAGAAAGAAAGUUCACAAAAGAAAAUAAGAGCUGGAGGAUAGUGAUUGAUCUGUAUCAUAUGCUGUCCUCAUGUGGACUUAGUUCCAGUCUUUCCAGGGUUGUUUUUAUUUUUUUGCAACAAUUGCAUUAGCUGCCAUCCCCAAAGAGGAGUUUUUCCAGCUAUAAAUGAGGUUAAAUGUGAAAAGUAAGAAAAGGAAGAUGCUGAAGAUGUGCCUGUGUUACUACAGCACUUCGAAAAGGUAAUAUAAGCUAAAGCUUUGGAGGCAGUGAACAAUGGCUUCAGUCAGAGUAAAGAAGCUCCAAUCAGGCUCUCAGGAGGAAGAUAACUGAGGCAUCACCUAACUGGAGAAAGAGCCAGAAAGGGCAAAUCUCUUUGCAAGGACAAUUUAUGGAGUACAUUGAAAAAUGAUGGCUGUCUUUCACAGAAAUAUUAUAAAAAUUGUAUUAAAAAGUAUGCACAAGCAUGUCAAUUUUACCUUUUAAUUUCUCUCUCUUAGCUCAUCCACAUGUUCCCACCUCUUGUAUUUUCCUUUGUGCAGAGCAUCUUCAUUUCAACAGUGUCUGUGAAACUCUUCUUUCACUCCCAAGCAUUUCCAGCAGAACCCAGCACAGUGUGACUCACAUGUGAUAUCCAGCUCAGCCCUGCCAAGGGAUGGGGACCCUGGCCAGGCUGCUUUGUUACCAAGGAUGGCUGCAAAGUUAUCACUCAAAUCACCCCCCCCCCCUCCUCCUCUGUUGCCUGAGAUGUUCAUGUUUCUAUGGAAGAGCCAAUUCCCUUAGUCCCUAUUUUCAGGUUUGUGCUAGCAGCCCCUAAGAAUUCACAUUGAAGAUGGAGGGAAAAGGACAUCAGUCAAGGUGAAGGUCUGCAUAGGCAAACCAGAGUUUUGGCAUUAAAUGGAGUUCAUUGGCCAGUACUACCAUAGGGACUGCAGACAUGGAUUUUUUGAGCAGUGCAGAUUGUCACAAGAGUCCUAAAUAUGAUCCUUUUUCUAUUUGCUUAUUUUUGAAGUACCUCAAAUUUUUUAGCUGAAGCAAGGAUCAGUUGCAUUUUAUGAACUUGUUCCCCUUCAGUGUUGAAUCUUGUAUACAGAGGAAUGAAAUGGCAGAGGGACACCAAGCACAGUAUCUGGAAAGACUGCUUGAAAACCUCUACAAACCAGAAUGAGCUUUAGGUGAAGUGUCUAAGUGAAUGUAGCCUUCUUCAGGAUUGCAAAGGGCAUUGCCAUCCAGAAAUUUUGGCCUCACUUGUCUGCAAGCUAAUUCUGAUUCUAGAAGGGCCCUGGCCCUCACAGCACGACUCCGCCUUGGUUCACCAUCCUUCAUAAGCAGCAGGAGUUUUAUUUGCAUUAAUUGUCUGCUUGCUCCCCUGGCAAUACCCUUCUCAAUCAUUCAGUGUAAGGGCAUUUUUACAGGAUACUGCAUUGUGCUGUACAAAUAUAACCUUUAAAUUUAAUGCCAUUUUAAAAAAUAAAUUUAACUGCUUAAUAAUUGCCAAAAUGACAUUUAGCUUUUGCUUUUUGUUUUGAAAUAUAAAUACUUGUUUCAAUUCCAUACUCCAGUAAGAAAUACACUAUUUUUAAUAGGCUCAAACACACCAUUAAACUAUUUUACAUGUUACCACAG